rnacentral:rRNA from 1 species
AUUGAACGCUGGCGGCAGGCCUAACACAUGCAAGUCGAACGAGUGGCGGACGGGUGAGUAAUGUAUGGGAAACUGCCUGAUGGAGGGGGAGAACUACUGGAAACGGUAGCUAAUACCGCAUACUAUUGGAUGUGUCCAGAUGGGCUUAGCUAGUAGGUGGGGUAAAGGCUCACCUAGGCGACGAUCCUUAGCUGGUCUGAGAGGAUGACGAGCCACACUGGAACUGAGACACGGUCCAGACUCCUACGGUAGGCAGCAGUGGGGAAUAUUGCGCAAUGGGCGCAAGCCUGAUACAGCCAUGCCGCGUGUAUGAAGAAGGCCUUCGGGUUGUAAAGUACUGUCAUCGGGGAGGCGUUACCCGCAUAAGAAGCACCGGCUAACUCCGUGCCAGCAGCCGCGGUAAUAC